CUGCCAACAGCCAGAGAGGCAGGAGCUCCUGGGGGAGAGAUGCGAGAAGCAGCCGCAGGUAAGUCAUUUGAGGGCUGCUCCUGUCCUAACUGCAUCUCUUCAGUGUGAUCUCUGCCUCCACCUGAUAAAGGAAGUGCUUGUCAGAUUUGUCAAUGAAAGUAUGAAAAGUCAAAUCAGUAAUGAUCCAGAGAAGUGGAAUAAUUUGGUCCAAGAGGGCUACCAUAAACGAGGUCAUUCCACUGCCCAGUAAGGGUGAAGAGGAUGAAGAGGACAUUGAGGAUGCUGAGGAGUAGGAAGGAGUGAUGGAAUUAGACAGCCAAUGGUACCCAACCUCCAUCCAAUCAGAAACAAAAUGAUAGCCAAUAAUUUGAAGCUGGACACCCUCCUAGCCUGUGGGAGGUGGGGCAAGAUGCUCUGGAUUUAUGGAAAUGAGCAAUUGGAGCAGACUCAAGUGAAUCAGGCCCAGGAAUAGGCACUAGGAGCAUUGAUUAAAAGCGGGUGAAAUAAGGAGGGUACCAUAGUCGCAGCCAAAGUCAAUGUCAUGAGAAAAGGCAAGGUCACUGCCAUGGUGAAAAUUUCAAGCAGGACCAUGGCCACUGUCAAGGAAAAGGUUCUGGAGAGAGCAGCUGAGAAUGAAUCCUCUGUGGGUGUCCAAGUAAGUGCUGCUCUCAGCCCAGGAUGAUGUCAGUGGAAACCAUGAGACACAAUACGGUAUACAAUACAGUACAGUAGAGAUGAAAUGAAACUCUUUUCUGCUUAUAAAUAACCAGAGUUAGCAGUACCUGUUGGUGAAAUGAAAACAUCCAGACUUUCUUGGGGAACACACAUUCCUGUUGUGAAUGUAGUUCAGAAAUUGUUUAAAACAUGACAGUUACUUUUUGGCAAACAUUAUUAUUGGUUUUUUUUUCUCAAAUGGCAUUAACAUUGUGUAAGAGAUACUUAUAAAUGCA